AAAGAGGGACGAGUGGUCGCGACGAUUCGAGGAAAGUCCGGACUCCUCGGGCAGGGACGCUGGGUAACGCCCAGAGGGAGAAAUCCCUGGUAAGGGCCAUAGAAAAGGAAACCGCCCUUGUGGCAAGGAUGGAAAGGUAGGGUAAGAGCCUACCAGACUCGGGGUGACCCGGGUGCUUGGUAACCCCCGUCCGGAGCAAGUCCAAGCAGGAAGGGUUAGAGGAGCCCGCCGAAUCCCUUCCGGGUAGGACGCUAGAGCGCCGUGGUAACACGGCGUCGAGAUGGAUGACCACUUCAACAGAAUCCGGCUUAUAGUCCCUCUUUUCGG
rnacentral:RNase_P_RNA from 2 species